GUGAGUAAUUAAUGACAUUAUUUUAAUUUUGGGGUGAACUAACCCUUUAAAUAUAAGCAUGAAAAAUAAAUGUUCAUUACUUGAAGUAAUGUAAAUGUUAACUGAAAUAUAAUAAAAUCUUAAUUUAUUUCAGCAAUUUGAUAAGGCAAUAUUUUUAUGAAACACUAUACAUUUUUUUGUUCAAAAUUAACAAAAUAUAAAUAAUGUGUCAAUACAUCAUCAAACGUGUUUUUGUCUUACCCUGAUUCAAUAUGGUAAUACUAUUAUAUGUGUUUUUUUAGACAUGACUGGUCGGUUUUCGCGGGAAAUUGCGUCCAUACGUCACUCGUCCAGAGUUGCAUAGGUUAAUAACGAGUCAAUAUAAUAAAUGUUUCUUCGAAAAUGCGUUUUUGUCUUACCUUGAUUCACUGUGGUAAGUGAUAAAUGUUUGUAUUUUAGACCUGACGGGACGGUUUUCGCGGGAAAUUGCGCCCAUGCAUCACUCGCUCGUGCGCGUCUCGUCAUAUCCGUCAGAGAAAAGUUGCUCCUGCUGCUUUGCCGCAUGUUUGUUGUGGGAGUGGCGGAGGUUAGUUGUCACAUCGAGCGAGAAAUGUUGACAUAGAUCGCUAAAUUUCCGGGAAAUCAACUGAUUUAAACAAACGCCGAACAGAGGAGAUGCUGGAUAAAAGAGAACGCGACAGAGCGCGUAAUGAAACAAAAAUCAAAGGCUUGGAUUUAGGAGAUUGCGAAAACUGAGGGAUGAUGGCAUUUUUAUUAUUUAACAGGCCUGAGAUCAUGUUCCUGCCAGGAACUGCGAGACCUCCAGAUGAACCUGAGGUGAAACUGACAUCAGAUCAGCUGAACAAACAAUUUUACAGCUAAUAUCGCACCGAUACUGUCAACGCACCGACACGUUUAGCGGAAAUGACCGCGGCGACACUCUCACGGUGGGAUUUUUCUCUUCCCCUGCCGCAACAAUUGAUGUUUAGGAAGGAAGAUGAGCCCGUCGUUUCAAACGCCACAUUCAUCUGUCAGACCGUUCGACCAGAAAGCUGAUUUACGGUGUACGUGUGUGUGUGUGAACCGGGCCGUGGGUUAAGAGGAGGUCUGGCAGCCAGUGCAGGACAUUUAUCAUCUCUAACUGCGACAGUCAGAUAAGAGAAAAUAACUCAGUCCUUACACACACACACACACACACACACACACACACACACACACACAGAGGCCCUGUUUCAAUGCAUUUGUCUUUUGGACUUUGCUCCAGUUUAUCUUUUUAACCAGUAACCACACUGUUCUACACAUCUGUGUUUGUUUAUUAAACAUUCUUGAUAAUUUAGUUAAGCUUUGCAUGAAAUAACAACGUGCAACAAUUUCUUUAACACAUUUUACCAUGUUUUAAUCAAUUCCACAGCCUUCUGUAGAUUUUCCCUCCAAAAUCGGCGUUCUGUAGAUUUUCCCUCCAAAAUCGGCGUUCUGUAGAUUUUCCCUCCAAAACUGACAUUCUGUUUAUCUUUCCCUCCAAAACAAUUUUAACACAUUUUACCAUGUUUUAAUCUAUUCCACAGCAUUCUGUUAAUCUUUCCCUCCAAAAUCGGCAUUCUGUAGAUUUUCCCUCCAAAACUGGCAUUCUGUAGCCUAGAUCUUUCCCUAUAAAAUCAGCAUUCUGUAGAUUUUCCCUCCAAAACUGGCCAUCUGUAGAUUUUCCCUCCAAAACUGGCAUUCUGUAGAUCUUUCCCUCCAAAAUCGGCGUUCUGUAGAUUUUCCCUCCAAAACUGCCAUUCUGUAGCCUAGAUCUUUCCCUAUAAAAUCAGCAUUCUGUAGAUUUUCCCUCCAAAAUUGGCAUUCUGUAGAUUUUCCCUCCAAAACUGGCAUUCUGUAGCCUAGAUCUUUCCCUCCAAAAUCGGCGUUCUAUAGAUUUUCCCUCCAAAACUGGCAUUCUGUAGCCUAGAUCUUUCCCUCCAAAAUCGGCGUUCUGUAGAAUUUCCCUCCAAAACUGGCCAUCUGUAGAUCUUUCCCUCCAAAACUGGCAUUCUGUAGCCUAGAUCUUUCCCUCCAAAAUUGGCAUUCUGUAGAUUUUCCCUCCAAAACUGGCAUUCUUUUUAUCUUUCCCUCCAAAACAAUUUCUUUAACACAUUUUACCAUGUUUUAAUCAAUUACACAGCAUUCUGUUGAUCUUUCCCUCCAAAAUCGGCGUUCUGUAGAUUUUCCCUCCAAAACUGGCCAUCUGUAGAUCUUUCCCUCCAAAAUCGGCGUUCUGUAGAUUUUCCCUCCAAAACUGGCAUUCUGUAGCCUAGAUCUUUCCCUCCAAAAUCGGCGUUCUGUAGAUUUUCCCUCCAAAACUGGCCAUCUGUAGAUUUUCCCUCCAAAACUGGCCAUCUGUAGAUCUUUCCCUCCAAAAUUGGCAUUCUGUAGAUUUUCCCUCCAAAACUGGCAUUCUGUAGCCUAGAUCUUUCCCUCCAAAAUCGGCGUUCUGUAGAUUUUCCCUCCAAAACUGGCAUUCUGUAGCCUAGAUCUUUCCCUCCAAAAUCGGCGUUCUGUAGAUUUUCCCUCCAAAACUGGCCAUCUGUAGAUUUUUCCCUCCAAAAUCGGCGUUCUGUAGAUUUUCCCUCCAAAACUGGCCAUCUGUAGAUUUUCCCUCCAAAACUGGCCAUCUGUAGAUCUUUCCCUCCAAAAUCGGCGUUCUGUAGAUUUUCCCUCCAAAACUGGCAUUCUGUAGCCUAGAUCUUUCCCUCCAAAAUCGGCGUUCUGUAGAUUUUCCCU